GACGAACCGAGCGAACGUUAUUCGGAAUCACUGGGCUUAAAGGGCGCGUAGGCGGGCCGUCAAGUCGAGGGUGAAAUCCCCCAGCUCAACUGGGGAAGUGCCUCCGAUACUGGCGGCCUCGAGGGGGAUAGGGGCAUGCGGAACUUCCGGUGGAGCGGUGAAAUGCGUAGAUAUCGGAAGGAACACCGGUGGCGAAAGCGGCGUGCUGGAUCCCUUCUGUCGCUGAGGCGCGAAAGCCAGGGGAGCGAACGGG
rnacentral:rRNA from 1 species